rnacentral:lncRNA from 1 species
CAUAGCUGACUAGACAGCCAUUUGUAUCUUCUGGUUUAUAUAUUGAUAUGUCCAUCCACGUACAUAAAAUACAUAAUAUAAACACUUUUUAAGCAUGCAAGACCCACGUACUUCAUGAUUUUAUAUAUUUAAAGUUUCAUGCAAUAAAAGGUUCACUAUAAUCCCAUCUAAUGACAUAAACGGCAUCUCAUUUCUCCUGUAAUUUGGUUUAAAAAAGACAAUUAAUUAGAGUUACAAUUUCACUAGGACUAUCCAAGGUUUCGCCAAGAUUUGGAAAAUCUUAAAGCUAUGCAUGUAUGAGCCAAAAUUAAGAUAAUAUAUUUUUGUAAUAAUUUUUUUUCUGUAAAAUCUUUAAGUAAUUAAACAAAAGAAUAUCCAACGUUUCUACCCUACCAAUGAAGAUCCACCUCUCUCUUUCUCCAUUGGAUUUUAGAAUUUAGAGUUUUAAUUAUUAUUGAUUAAUUUUCAAUAUUAUUAUUUGUAGCUUUCUCUUUAUUAGUUGACCCACCACUUACAUUAAAGAAAGACUCAAGUCAUAAGUAAACACACAGACGCCCACCAAAUUAACUUGUUCUUACUUAAAAAAGGUAUCAUGGAGACAAGCUUAAUCAAAAUCCACACAUUAAUGCCUUGUUACAUCACCAUUAGUGUAGCUACAAAUAAAUUAAAUUUCAAUUUUUUAAGUAAUGGACAACAAACAAUGUGCUUCAUUUUGUUUCGUAUGCGGACAAAAUUUGUUGAUGGAUGAUGAAAGAUUAAUAAAUUACAUUAGCUUGGUCCUCUAAUUAUGUAUUAAAUUAUUCUAAUUAGAAAUUUUCUUUAUAUUGAAAACAAGGACGUAGCACGUGGCACUUAGUGCGAAAUGUCAAUUUAAGAUUAAUUAUCAUUUUCAUUUAGUAGAAACAAUGGAUAUAAUAAACAAAAGCUUUUUUUUCCCCCCAAACCAAAAGUUGCCUAAAUUAAAUAUAUCUUCAGUACAUUCUUCUAGACAAAAAUUUGAAUGAAAUCAUCAAGCUAAAAUAAAAAAUUACACAGAAAAUUAGAAAACUGAUAACGGGUCCAUGUUAAGAUGAUCUUACAAUUGAGAACUAUAAUUCAAUUAUAUAAUUUUAAGAUGAUUUUAUGAUAAUUUAUUAGGGAUACAUGUACGUUAUCUAGAGGUGACAAUUUGGGUCAAAAUUAGUUUAUUCGAUUUGAUUCGAUGUGAAUUAAAUGGAUUUAUGUUUGAAAAAAAAUUGAUUCUUUUAAUAAAUGGGAGAAUUCAAUUUGAUCCGCUAACUAAACAAAUUGAAUCCAGAUUUGAGGACAUUGAUUCAUUUAUUUGUUUUGGAUUUGUUUAAUAAAUGAGUUAUAAACGAAUCAAAUAUGAUUCAUUCGUUUGAAGUUCAUAAAUUUUUUGUUUAAUUAAAUUACUUAUUUAUCUUUAAAUAUGUACAGAAAUUUUUAAAGUUUGAAGGCUAAUAUUGUAAUUAUAAAUGAUAAUAAAUUUGUAUUUUAUAGGAUUUUAAAUUUGUGGUCUUUUUAUAUUUUUUUUGCUUAAUAUUAGUUUACUAAUUAUAUUUUUGUGAACAAAUUCAUAUUCGAUUUGAUUCAUUAUGGAUUUGUUAUAGGAUAAAUGAAUAGUAAAUGAAUCAAACAGAAUAUUUGUUUAAUAAACGAAUCGAAUUCGAAUCAACAGAGUUUUGACACAAUUCAUUUAUAAUUCGAUUUGAAUUCAAUUCGUUUGUUCAUUUUGCUGCUCCUAACAUUAUCUGUUUAAGCUUUAGCUUCGUUUCGAACCUUCGGUCUCUUAUAUAUAUAUAUAAGAAUUUUGACGCCAUUAUCUUAUAAAUUAAAACUACAUAUAUAAAAACUAGUCAUAGAAAUUUGUCCAUAGAAAAUUAUUUGGAACUUCUAUAAUAAGAGAAAGAACUUAAAAGGGUAUAUUAUGCAAUAUAUUUAGUAUAAUUGAGUUUGUGCACGUAAUUUUUAUUUUUUAGAGUACAUGUAAUUUAAUUCAUUUAGGAUUAGAAUUCUCUCCUAUUAUUUUUCUCUCAUUGUCUCAUUUAGUCUUCUAAAUCUAGUGGAAAAGUUGAAUUACUUAUAAAUAAAGCGAAAAAAACUUGGCUUAAUUGUCAAUAUCAAAAUUUAAAAUUUAAUCUUGAGUUCUUGACCAUUUAUUUCACUGGUUAGGAGAGAUUAUGAGAAGGAAAAAAAAAAAGAGAGAAAAUCUUUUUUCCAAUUAAUUUACUCUCCUCUCUCACUUUUAAUUCUUUUACCAUGUUUUCUUGUAGUAAUUAGUUUGAUUCAAAUUCCUAUAAAUGUUUUAUAUUUUCAUUUUCCUACAAAAAUUAAUGAUUUUCGACAUAAAUGACAAAACUUUGGAAAAUAAAAAGACACCAGUGCAGAUGUUUCAUUACAGGCAUGAAUCAUGAUGCACUGUCAUACAAUUCUUUAAUAGUAAAGUUUAUCAAAUUAAUGCAGACUUUGUAGAAAUAUGUUGUCUAGCGGCUCACGUUAUGGUUAAGUUUGCUUUCAAAACUAUUGACUUCGUGGUCCGGUUGGACGAUAUGCUUUUCUAAAUAAAUUGUGUGAUUCUUAAUUUGUCAUCCUAGGUUUAACAUAUGAAAUUAUUUUGAUUUAUAUAUUAAGCAAAAUGGAUACCUAGUGUCAGAAUAAUUUUAUUUUUCUUUCCUCCCUUCAUAUUCUCACCAAAAAUAAAAUAAAUAAAUGAUAAUAUAUAAUAAAUUAACUUGAGUUGGUGAGCAGUCGUAUGGUCACCUUCAAUGGAUCUAUAUUUAUUCAGAAACCCUUCCAGUUUAUUCGCUGUAUUUAUUAAUCAACUUAUAUCUAGUUUACUAAUGAUAAUGAUGUUGAUAACAUGAAUGGGCUAUGAUUUCAAACAGUCAUAUCCCUUAUCCCUUCGAAUUAUCAUAUCACGCACUCUCUAUAGUUAAUUCAAAGAAGAUUAGUGGGUGAGUGGUUUUUAAUUAAAAUUUUAAGAUUGACACUUCUGUAUUCGAAUAACGUAUCAAGUAUUAAAAAAUUAAUUUGAGCUGCUUUGCACGUACCUUCAAUUUAAGUUUGACAAGAAUCAUAUAUAGAACUAAGAAAAGGAUAACAUUAAUAUUAUAACGUCGAUAUAUAUCUAAUUUACAUAUCCAGUCAUCAAAACCAAAAUCAAAAGCACCAUCACAUAUGAUAUGAUAUAAUAUAUUAUACAUAAUCAAACUGAUGCAUCAGCUGCUGCUGUUGUGACAUUAAUCUGAACCAUCUCUUUCUGACUCUCCACUUUCUCUGCUUCUCCGAAUUUCUCUUUCUCUUGCAAUUUCAAUUUCACAUACAUGCCAUACACAUAAGAGCAAAAGCCCCAAGCACAAAGCACAGUCGAAACAGCCUUAACGCCGCCAAAACUGUCGCCGUAAACCACGACCCCGGCGAUAACGUUCAUGGCCAAAAUCGCAGUCAUGCUGAUCCCUCCCGUCAACGACGACGUCAGGAACACCAUCCCCGCAGUACCCAUGAAGCAAAGCUGCCAAGUCACCACAUUGCCGAUAAUCGUCAGGCAGUAAACCACCGGCCCUUUGUCGUAAACCGUCUGUGCCUCUCUCUUCAUCUCCGGAUACCCGCCGUCCGACGCCAUCCCGACGGUGGCCAACGCCGUGGCGGCAAUCUCCAUUACCAGCUGCAUUUCCAUCACCAUUGAGUAGCAGUAAACUUUCUUGUAAAUCAUCUCCAUGACUGGCAAAUACAAAGCAAAUAACAAGCCAGCACCAACAGUGCAAAAAAACCCUAUGAAAUAUUUCGAUUUGGGCAAGUCAGGAGACUUGUCAUGGCCCGAGCCUAGGGCUAAGAGCACUGAGCUUAGGGUUAAAAGAAUAACACAGUUGAGAUUUGAGAAGGUGAUUUUUUGCUUUACUAUUAUGACUGAGAAAACGAGGUUGAAUAGGAGCUGAGAUGAUAAGAGGAGGGCUGAAGUUGAGACCGGCAAAUAUGAGUUACCCCAAGAGAAGAGAAGAUUGUUUAAGCCUAAGAGGAGGCCUACCAAGAUUGACAAGGUGAGGACCUUGGUAGUGAAGUGUGAGAAUGGACGUCGCUCGGUGCACUUGAAGAGGUAAUAAGGGAGGAAGAUUGGUGGGAGGAGUAGAGGAAAGCCAGCGCAUUGAACCCAAGUGGAGACCCAACGGCUUGAGCCUUUGUGAUUGAAGUAGUACUUUGAGAGCAAGCUUGCUGAGACUGAGCCUACAAAGAGGCAGAGAUAGUUGGUGACCAAGAGAACGAGAUAGCUCUUGCUUGUCUUGGCCUUUUGGUCCUCUACUCCUUGUCCAUGCAACUGGGUUCUUGUUGGUGGUGUUGUUGCUGUUGCGGUCUUGUUCAUCUCUAUGAAUGGGAGAGGAGGGAGAAGAGGAAUUUUGCACUUGUGUUUCGGUUGUGGUUGUGGGGCUUGUUUUUGUACUAAGUGGUUUCACUAAUAUAAAGGGAUCAGUGAAAUUGAUGAAGCUGGAUGAUGAUGAUGAUGAUGUGCUUUUGCAUAUAUUUGCUUUUCUUUUCUUUUCAAGAUUUUGUUGUAAUUAAUAAUUAAUUAGCAACCUUAUUUAAGCCAAAAGGUGGGGUUAUUAUAUGUUAAAAUCGUGGGGUCUCGAUGGACCUUUCGGCCGAUAAGGGAGAGGUUUGUUUGAGUUUAGUGAUGGUCAUUUCGGUUGGUUGGCGGCUUGAUUUAGGCUUUAGCCAAAUAUCCAAUCAUUAUCAAUGAGUUUGAUUUUCUAAGAUAAGCUUUUUUCUUUAAUUGCAUCCCCAUCCAUCAUCUCAUUUAAGGAAAAUUAAAAGAGAGAGGGAGAUUAUUUUAGUGGAAUCGACAUUGCACAUAAAUAUUGGAUGGAUGAUGGACACUAGGUGCUUAUAAUCUAUGUAACAAGGAAAAUCUAUAAGUACAGAUUAGAGAAAAGAUAAUAUGAAGUUUGAAUAUGUAUAUACUGACAAGAUUGAUGGGUACAUUGUGGAUGGUGGGCAUGAUUAUAAGAUGGAAGAUGACAUGAUAUAUUCGUGAAUUUAGUAGAGUGCUUAAUGGAGAGAGAGAAAAGGAGAAGAAUAAGUGGAAACGUAGACAAAUGGCAGUUGUUAGAAAAUGGCAACUACAGAUGUAGAGAGAGUUGUGAAAUUGAAACGGUUACUUUGACUGUUUCUGUUUCUCUUUCUUUUGCUUUAUCUUCUUCUUCUUCAUAAAUUUAUAUAUACAACACAAAGUUAAUGAAUGAUGCAUGAAUCAUGAUGCAUUGUCACGGCAGCGGCAUUGACAAAUGCCGAGCGUUUCGGUUUUUAGUUAAGCGGGUCUCUCGCAAGUGUCCCUCCUUUUUUUAUUUCUAGCAUGCGUUGCCAGCUUUGCCCGCCGUGGUUCAUUUUAAGGGUGUUCGUGGAUCGGAUUUUACUGAUUGGAUAUCAAUUCAUAUCCGAUCUACGAUUUUACGGAUUAUAAAUUUUCAAUCCAAUCCAAUCCACGGAUCGGUGAAAUGCAAUUCAAAUCUAAUCCAUACGUCUGUGGAUCGGAUGCGGAUUCGACCCAAUCCAUAUCCAAUUCGCCAUUUUACGGAUUAAUUUGCGAACUGAAAAUUUUUAAUUUUGUCCAAUGCACGAACUAACUAAAUAAAUAAAAUUAAUUAAAAAUAAUUUUACUACCGAUCAAAUUUAAAAUUAAAUAAGAUUUAAAUAAAUUAAUUGUUUAAAUAAAGCUAGAAAAUACAUUUAAAGUUUCAAAAUAUAAUGCACCAAAAAGACAAAAAUCUCAUUCAUUUAGACCAAUAUAUAGAAAUUAACUAUUUUGGAAGCUAUAUUUUUUUAUUUUAUAUUAUUAUCAGAUAAGAUAUAAUAUAGUGUUAUUGUAACUAUAUUUUAACUUAUUUAUUUACUAGUAAGUACUAAUGUCAUAUUUACAAGUUUUAUUUUUUAAUUAAAUAAUUUUUUUUACGGAUUCACGGAUUUUUAUGGAUUUACAGAUGUAAAUCCAAAUCCAAUCCACCGAUUGCGGAUUAUUAAAUUUUCAAUCCAAUCCAAUCCAUCAAUCCACGAAUCGGAUUUCUACGAAUCAGACGGAUUGAACGGAUCGCAUUGGAUUCUGAACACCCCUAGUUCAUUUUACUUAACACACUCAUUGUUUUUGUUUUUAUUUUCUUUUUCUUGCUUCAUUUUUUUUUUCAAAACUAUUUUUCUUUUUCGAUGAUUGUUUUCUAACACAUGUAUAUUUAGAAAUAAUGUAUGCCCAAAACAGGUUUGCUUUUAUGAUAUGUUUGGUGUGACUUUCAAAAAUAUUAUUUUUGAACUAAUUAAAAAUUAUGAAAAUGGUUUUUUCUUUUCCCUUUUAUUAUGUAACAAAUUCCUCUUUGAUUCGUUUGUUGUGCACUAUUUAAAACAAUGUUUUAGGGUGUGUUUGAAAAUAAAGUGCUGUAACUUUUAAACUGCUAUGGAGUAAAAGUUAUAACUGUGGAGUAUAAGUUGAAAAAAAAAAUUUACUAAGUUGUCAAAGCCCAGUUACAAGUGUUACCAAACACCUUAGUAGCUGGCUUUGACAGCUCAGUUAUCUCACCACACUCCCAAACGAACUCUUAGACCAAUUAAGAGAGAAUUGAUGAUUUAGAGUUGGUAGGGAGAAUAAUUCUAAAAUUAGUAACACAACCAAUAUUAGAUAAUAUCUGCCAAGAUUUUGCUCAUAAAUAUUAAUGCAUCUAGCUGGGCAAGUCUAGCCUUAGGCUGGAUUACCAUUUAAGAUUUUGAACAAGUGAAUUAAAUUCAUGAUUUGAAUCAGAUUAUGGUGGUUGUAUUUUCUAUUUUUACACGUAAUAAUGCCCAUAUUGAUAUUUGUAAUAAUGAAUGGUUAUUUUUUUUAAUCUAUAUAUUGAUAUUUAUCUAUAGUAGACAAAUUAAUGGGACAACCCAACCAUUUAUUUAAUAUGCUCAGUCAAUUAUUAUGGGUAAAAUUGGCAAAGUCUUGACCUCUACUCACUUUGUAUAUACACAACAGAUUAAAAUGGCACUCAGAAUUUAUUAUUCAUGUGUUUGGUUUUAAAAAUAAUUUGUUUUGCCCAAAAAACAAAUGUAUUGAAUCGGCAAAAAUGGAUAAUUUACCCCAUUUUGAUCCAAAUUGUUGGACCUUAUUGUUUUUUAAAUUAAAAAAACUAAAGUGUAAUUUUUCAUGUACAAGAUUUUAAAAAGAAAAAGGAUAUGUACAGUCAAAUUUUAAAUAAAAACAAAGGGUUUUGUUUAAUAUUGAGGUGCUGUAGUUUUUUAGGAAUAACUACUGUAAAAAAAAAUUAUAAUUAUGAAAUAAAAAUUAAUAAUAUAUAGUAAAUAUAAUUUUUAAAUAAUAAAUUUAACAAAAUUAAUAAAAAAAUAAUAGAUCGUUCAUCAUACAAAUAUAAAAUUAAUUAAUUUAGCUUCCAAAUUAUAAUAGUUAGUCUUUACCAAACACUUUAAUAUUAUAUUGUUACCCUACAGUUGUUCAAACUCAAUUUCAAAUGCAACCUUAAUUUAGGAGAUCAAAGAAAACUUCAUUUGCACAAAUUUUGUUGAUAUUUUAUAUAAUCCAAGAGAGUGUAAUGUUGUAGCUCAUUCACUAACUAAGAUAGCACUUGAUAGACAAGGUACAAACAUUUGGCGGGACUCAUUUUCAGCUGAGAUUAUGUCAAUAUUCGCAUAGUUGAAAUGUUGAAUGAAUGAAAAUGGUACUUUUCAUUAAAAAGAAAAAAAAAAGUGAAAAUUAUCCUUUUAUCCAAAUAUAGCAUUACAUACAAUACACGUACACAUGCAUACACAGUGGUCUGCAUUAAGCUUUGCAAUUUGCGUACAUCUGUGUGUUUUCACUUAUUAAUUUUACAGAAUUGAGCCAUUGGGCCUUGAAACUUAGGUCUGGGUUUGAAUAAUGAGGCCAUAUUUGUACACACAUGGGCCAAAUCCAUCACAAGUUUAUCUUAUGCACUGCCAAUUAGUUUUAUCUCGUAGGAACAUCGGGUAUCGUCAACAAUUUGUACCAUUAUAUUUUCUAAAAAAUCUUCUUUUUUUCGAUGCUUAUCCUAGGGUCAUGCAUGACUUAUAGGCGAUAGUAUGCAAUAUAUAUAACCCUAUGUAUUUGUGAGAGAGAUUUGUAUAGGAUAGUCCUAUCGUCUUGUAAAAUUUGAGGUGUUAAGGAUCAGUCAAUGAGAUUCAAUUAAUUGGUAAAAUAGUCUUCUUCUUCUUCUUAUUAUUUUAUAUUCAAUUUUAAGAGAAUCUCAUUUAGAAUCUCACCACGAGGCUCAUUAUUUUACUAAAUAAUUGAAUCUAAGUGGUUGAUCUUCCCACCUCAGCGAGUUAAGAUUUUAGAACUAGCAUGUAAAAAUUUUUCUCCCUAUUUGUUGGUGUCAACUCAUUUAACUCUUCAAUUUUUUUUUCACUGAUAAAAGAGAUAUGAGAUUCAACCUUUAAUUUUUCUUUAUUUAUUUGGAAGUAAACUGUAAAUUAAUUUUUUGGCCUCUCCUACCAUUUUGAUCUUCAAUAUUAUGAAAAAAAAAAAGAGAACUUAGUUUUCAAUAUUUACAUACUUUUUUAAAAAAGUUGUUGUUAUUAUUAUUAUUUUUGAUGACACCAUCGAAGAAAGCCCAAAUCUAUAUUGAUUUUUGGAUACCUAAAAGCUCAACAUGCGAUGAGGGGAAAUUAUGUGAUUACGCAAGAGAGUCCGUCAUUGAAACUAAUCUUAAAUGGCAUAAUAUUAGGUUGAAAAUGUGAAAUUAGGUCAAAUUUUUUAAUUAAAACAUUUAUUAUUAUUUUUUUAAUAUUUUUGCCUAAAAAAAACUUUAAAAAUAAAAUUGCAAAACUGAAACUUGCGAAGCAAAUGACGAUCAAGCCCAUUACCCGUAACCCAAAAGGCCCUAACGGUUCCUUUUUCUUUUUCUUUUUUGUCUUGGCGGGAAAGCCUUGACGAUUUUCCCGCCACGGAGAGACCGACAAGCACAAACAAGACGAAGUGUUUACAGUUGGAAAUUAGGGUUCCAAAUCGCGUGACGACUGCAGCUUCCGAAACAUCGUACAACAAAGAAAAAAUGGAGGCGUUUGGUGGAAUCUUGGUUGACGAAAAAGCAGUGAGAGUUGAAAAUAUUUUCUUGGAAUUUCUAAAGAGGUAGGCUUCCCUAAAUCCCUAACCAUUUUUUUCAUUUAAAAUUGUAGUUUUUGUUAAAUGGGUGUUGAUUUUCGCUCCAAACGAUGAUCUGGGCAGUUUUAGAUUAGAUGGAAACAUGGGCGGAGAGUCGUGUUACGAGGCCGAGAUCGAGGCCAUGAGAGCCAACGAAUCCAACACCAUGUUCAUCGAUUUCUCUCACGUUAUGCGAUACAAUGACCUUCUUCAAAAAGCCAUUGCCGAUGAGUAUUUAAGAUUUGAACCGUAUUUGAAGAAUGCUUGCAAGAGAUUUGUGAUGGAGCAAAACCCCAAUUUCAUUUCUGAUGAUAAUCCUAACAAGGAUAUCAAUGUUGCUUUCUUCAACAUCCCUUUCUCUAAGAGGUAAUUUUUAAUGCUCAUUAUUUAAUCGUUUCAAUUGUUCUUAAUUCAGGCAUUGGUAAUCAAAUUUACACACUAAAUAUCUGAUGAUUAUGAAAAAUUUCAUUAGUUAUGAAUUGUUUGUAUGUGUGUGUAAUGCUUGAGCACAGAUUGAGAGAGUUGACCACGGCAGAAAUUGGGAGACUGGUGUCAGUUACAGGAGUGGUGACUCGAACAAGUGAAGUUCGACCUGAGCUACUUCAAGGGACCUUUAAGUGCUUGGAAUGUGGGGGAGUCAUCAAGAAUGUUGAGCAGCAAUUCAAAUAUACUGAGGUUAACCUGCUUGAGUAUUUUUACAUGUUUAUGUGGGUGAAUUUUCACUGCCUGGCAAUAAUCGAUGUGUUGUUGCAUUUCUUUGGUUUCAGCCCACAAUUUGUGCGAAUGCAACAUGUUCCAAUAGGACAAAUUGGGCAUUGCUACGCCAAGAUAGCAAGUUUGCUGACUGGCAGAGGGUGAGAAUGCAGGAGACUUCCAAAGAGAUUCCAGCUGGAUCCUUGCCCAGGUCAUUGGAUGUUAUUCUCCGCCAUGAUAUUGUCGAACAAGCCAGAGCUGGAGACACGUAAGAUCCCCAUUAAGUCAAUAUGUAUCAUUUUCUUUUUCCUAUAGAUGUUAAUGUUAGUUACUUGUUCUCGCUUAGAAAAUAUCAUAAGAUAUUUGCAAGUCAUUAAUAUCUCCAAUCUUUAUUCACCAACAGGGUCAUUUUCACUGGUACUGUGGUUGUCAUACCUGACAUAUUGGCAAUGGGCUCUCCUGGGGAGAGAGCAGAAUGUCGCCGAGAAGCUUCUCAGCGCAAGUCCUCUGCCGUUGGACAUGAUGGUGUGAGAGGUCUUCGAGCAUUGGGAGUGAGAGACCUUUCCUACCGGCUUGCCUUCAUUGCCAAUUCAGUUCAGGUUGGUGAUACAGUGGCUUAUAAUUCAAGUUGGAUUAUGUGACGAGUUUGUUCACGCAGUUCAUGUUUCAUGCUUGCUUGUUUCUUUAGAUUGCUGAUGGUAGAAGAGAUACCGACAUAAGAAAUAGGAAGAAGGAUGCCGAUGAAGAGGACCAACAUCAGUUCACGGUGGGUUCAACAUGCAGUAUUUCUAGUUUCUUUAGUAUAGUCCCAUUUUCUAGAGAUUUGUUUGAUUAUCAAUCACAGCUACUUCAUGCUACUUCAAAUCUCUAUUUAUAAUGUCUUUCUGUACUUUACUGAAAAAAAAAAAAUUGUCAAUUUCUUUACUUUGGGCUUAUUUAACAUUAUUUCCUUCUAACAAUUCCAUUCAACCAAGUCUGGAGGGAAUUUGAUUUACAUAACUAAAUUUUGGAACUGCUUAAAGUAAAGAUAUAAUUUGCAGAUAGGAAGUUACUAAUGAGUUCGGAAUGUGUACCACAGAUGGUGUUAAUGAUUUCAGGAUUCUCAAUAUUGAAUUUUGAUUUUUAUUGUGAACCUAGAAACUAUAUCAAAUUCUAGAACUCUACUCACUUAUUUUCAACUGACAGACAGAAGAGAUAGACGAAAUCCAAAGAAUGAGAAAUGCCCCUGAUUUCUUCAAUAAGAUAGUUGAUAGCAUUGGCCCAACUGUUUUUGGUCAUCAAGAUAUAAAGCGAGCAAUCCUGCUCAUGCUCUUGGGUGGUGUUCACAAGCUUACUCAUGAAGGCAUCAACCUGAGAGGAGAUAUUAAUGUUUGUAUAAUUGGAGAUCCCAGCUGUGCCAAAUCUCAGUUCCUUAAGUAUGUCAUUUUAUUUGUUCCUUGGGUUUUUGGUUUCUAAUACAGCAAUUCCUGGUGUUUAUACUGCUUGAAAAACUUAAAUAGAUGGUCAAUGCACUUGCAGAUAUGCUGCUGGUAUUGUUCCUAGAUCUGUCUACACAUCUGGCAAGUCCUCCUCUGCGGCGGGCUUGACUGCAAGUGUUGCCAAAGAACCAGAAACUGGGGAAUUCUGUAUCGAGGUAGCAUUCAAUUCUAUUGCUUUUUGUUAGGUUGAGUUAUGAUAUGUCCUUGGAGACCGGAAAUAAUUGACUUCUGAUUAGCCCUAAUCUUCUGAUGUGUGUUUUCCCAUCAUAUUCUUUUAAGUUCCUUAUUAACCACGUACCUCUGAGUAUACAAUUUCUGCUUGUUCAGGUUCAGUGACAAACGUGUGUUGUUUAUUUCCAGGCAGGUGCACUGAUGCUUGCUGACAAUGGUAUUUGUUGCAUUGAUGAAUUUGACAAGAUGGACAUCAGGGAUCAGGUAAUUUUUAUACUGUUCUAUUUGGAGGAUCUUAUUUGCCAUGCAAUGCUGAUACUUGAUUUCCAACUGCUUAUGAAGGUUGCAAUUCAUGAAGCCAUGGAACAGCAGACAAUAAGCAUUACAAAAGCAGGUAUACAAGCAACACUGAAUGCCCGAACAUCAAUUCUAGCUGCUGCUAAUCCUGCAGGGGGGCGCUAUGAUAAGUCGAAACCACUGAAGGUGAGAAUCUUUGGAAUAUGGUACCAUUGUAACUGAUUUCCUAGGCAUUUGUGCUACAAUUUUUCAUGUCCUCAUUGUGAACUGAUCACUUUGGAUUUAUCUUUCUUCCCCAGUACAAUGUUGCGCUGCCUCCUGCUAUUCUUUCCAGGUUUGAUCUGGUAUAUGUAAUGAUCGAUGAUCCAGAUGAUCAAACUGAUUACCAUAUUGCUCACCACAUUGUGAGAGUGCAUCAGAAGCAUGAAGAUGCUCUAGCUCCAGCAUUCACAACUGCACAGCUGAAGCGUUACAUUGCAUAUGCUAAAACUUUAAAACCAAAGGUUGGCUGUUUAAUCUUUCUAUGAUCAUGAUGUGGUUUUUGACUUGAAAAUGAGAUUUUAUGUUAUUGUACUGCCUAUUUUUAACAUCGAUUCUAUAAUUCAGCUAAGCUUGGAAGCCAGGAAACUGUUGGUUGACUCUUAUGUUGCUCUCCGAAGGGGAGAUACAACUCCUGGGAGCAGAGUUGCAUAUCGUAUGACAGUUAGGCAGCUGGAAGCAUUGAUCAGGUUGUCUGAGGCCAUUGCUCGGAGUCAUUUGGAAACUCAGGUACAUAUAUUCAUGAAAUAUGUUAUGCAUAUUUCAUUGUUAUGCAUUGUCAUCAUAUAUUCAUGAAAUUAUCCUUCCAGGUACAUCCGCGUCAUGUUCGUGUAGCAGUAAGACUGCUAAAAACAUCUGUAAUCAGGUACGGUACCAGUGAAAUUAUGCCAAAUAUCCUCUCUUCUAAAUGACUGGUGAAGAUGUGUAAUUUGUCUCUUCAUGCAGUGUGGAGUCCAGUGAGAUUGAUCUGUCUGAGUUUCAAGAAGAUAAUCGUGAUGAUGGUGAUGGUGGUGGUGAUGGAAAUGAUGGCAAUGAUCAAGGUGAUGCUCAACCAAGGAACAGGACUCCUGAACCGGCUUCUGGAAUAGCUGGUGCGAUUCAAUCACCUAAAUUCCUUCGAUUUUAUUUUAUAUGACCAUUUUUAAUUAAGGAAAACCUCGCCUUUUUAUUGUCCAGGAAAUGGAGCCAGUUCUGCGAACCGACAAGGGAAAACACUUGUUAUAAGCGAUGAAUAUUUCCAGAGGGUCACCCAAGCCCUGGUAAUGCGCCUUAGACAGCAUGAAGAAUCUGUAAUACAAGAAGGUAACUUCCUGAACCAUCGGUCUUUCAUGUUCAUAAGUGAAUGGUUUGAAUAUAUCAAACAUAAGGUCUUUGGAGAUAGGGUAUUUAGCACAACCGUUAAUCUUCUUCCAAAUAUGAGUUUUUACCACAUUUGGAUGGUCAACACUAGCUGGUGAAUCUGAAGCCCUGCUUCAUGAUUAACCACCAGGACUUGUUCCCACCAUGCAUGAUCCAUUAAUAGUCAUUUUUCUUAAGCAAUUUCUGAGCUUUUUGCCACUUGCAGGGACUGGACUUGCUGGAAUGAGGCAGAAGGAUUUGAUAAAAUGGUAUGUGGAACAACAGAAUGAGAAAAACACCUACAGUUCUAUGGAGGAAGUGAAAAAGGAAGUUUCCAAACUCAAAGCUAUUAUUGAGGUACGAUAGUACUCAUCUUAAUUCUGAUAAACGAAGCUCCAAAUGUCAUAUUUCAACUUAAUAUUGUUUCGUUAAUUAUUUUAAAUAAUCAAAUACUUGCAAUGCAGAGUUUGAUUAGGAGGGAAGGUCAUCUGAUAGUGGUGGAUGAUGGUAGACAAGCAGCAGCGGAAGGUGAAGGGCGCCCAUCUAGAGAUGACAGGAUAUUAGCCGUGGCGCCAAAUUAUGUCAUUGACUGAUAUGCAAAUGGAUCAACAAGUGAGAAGCUACAAGAUCUUUCUACGGUUCAUAAGCUAUCACAAGCUGGACAGCAUGAAGGCUAUAUGGAUAAGAUCUUUAUGGCCAGCAAACUAGAAUCUGAAGCUUAUUACUGUUGAAAGUCCGUCAUGAAAAAGAGUUGGCGUAAAGGUAUUGGAAACACAAGUCAAAGAUUGAUGUGCAUGUUGUAAUCUGGUAAUUUAAGUAAUGUUACUGCUUCAUCGUGAUGAUGUUGGAUGUUGGCUCAUACCAUUAGUUUCUAAUCAAACAAGCUUGUACAAUUUAGAAUGUAACAAGAACAUUGCCUUUGCAUAACUAAAUCAAGUGGGGGCUUCUUCAUUACUUCUCGACUGCAUAUAUUUUCUUUUUCUUUUUCUUUUUCUUUUUAGCUGUCAGAUCCCACCAUGUUUUUUAAAGCUGAGGGAAUCAGGCGAGCCAACACUAGUACUUGAGCUGUCUUGGAUUGGGAAAGGCGGUUAUUUCUUACCAAUCCUUUGUGUUGUUAGUUGUUACAUAGAACAAAAAUCAAAUAUGCUUAGAUUAAUGAGCUUGCUGUCUGGCCCUGAUCUGGCAAUGGCAUUUGCUUCCAAGCUUAUCAAUGGCACGCUUCAUGUGGGUCUGUUCCUAUCUCUGAAUUGUGACAAUCGUUUUGAACAACUUAUUUUCUUGUCGGUGUAUGCAAACCUUUUGCCAGUUGCUACAUGCUACUACUUUCAGCCACGAAUGAGCUGCAGUGCAAGUUUCAUCCAAUUUAUCAUUGUUAUUAUUAUUAUUAUUUGUAAAGCAGUUUUGAGAAAUGUUUGUUCAGAUUUUGGCACAUGUAACUUGAAAAAUGAUCCAUUAUUGUCUAUUCAGUACGUAGACAGGAUGUCAAUUCAUUAGUUGGAUUUGCCUCACCAACAUUUUCUUGUUGAUCGUAUCCAGGGUGAGGCCACGGGUCAGGUAUGCCAAUUGAUUAAUAAAGUGAUUUGAAAAAGAAAAACAAAUGGGUGGGCUUGGUUCUAGUAUCGGGUGAGCCCAGUAAAUUAUGUGGGGACUUGGGCCUACCCUUCAGGCUUCUGAGCUAAAAAAUUAAUUAGCAAACUAAUACAACAGCAGAUAUUAAAAUUUGUCAGGUAAAUUUCACGAACAGAAAAGGAUUAAGAUUAUAUUUAAGUACUCAAAUUUUAUAUUCUGUGAAAUAAUCUUUUGAAAGUUCUAUUAACUCAAAAGAGUUUAGUGGGAACAAUAACAUAGGGCAGGCAAUUAGGUCAAGAGACUCGAACAAACAAGCCUCUAAUUUAUCUGUCAAAACUAGGACAAUUUGUUACGUGUAGCAUUUUUAUCUCUCGAUCGCUAUUCAUUUUUAUAUGCACGAUCAGUUGAAUAAGAAAAAGAAAUGGAAUGUCAAAAUCAAAUGAAAUGCUUAGGUUAGAAAAGUUAACGUAUUAAAGUUGGACUAGAAUAGGCAAAUAAGGUUAGAGAAAGCUAUAAAAUUAAUUACACUUUCAUUUUCAAUGGGAGAAUGAGUCCUUAUCAUUAUCAAUUGAGUUUUGCACUCAAACGCAAUGCUACGUCAUGUUCAUUUUCUUGUUUAAUUAUGCAAUUUUGAAAUGGACUACUUGUAAUCUUGCACCAUUUCAUGUGUUGUCACCUCUAUCCUCAUCCUCUCAACUUGCCCUAAUUUUAAUUUUCCUUCUAAUUGCUCGUACCAACUCCACUUUGCCUAAUUUUCAAGUUCAGAAUAGUCCAAAAAACAAAAUGUUCUUCUUUCCUAUGUACAUAAUUUUCAUACUACCUAUGUGCAAGUGAAUCUGCACAAUAUGAAGAUUCAUUAAUCUACUUCUAUUACAAAAAUAAUUUUCCUUUUUUCUUUUAAUAAUAAUUGCUUACAUUUUUAUUCUGUCAUAUUUAUUAUAAAUUAGUACAUAUAGGAAGGACAUUAUUCUAAUGACACAGGCAUUAAAAUAUAAAAAGAUGAGAAAGAAAGUAAUUGAAACAUUUUGGAUAUUAAAUAAUUUUAUUAAAAUAUGCACUUUUAUUUGGAACUAGGCCAUAGCCCACAGUUUUUUUUUUUAUAUAAUUUUUAUAAUUUUUUUAUUUGUUAAUCCAUAAAUGCCUUUAUUUUAAAGCAAAGUGAAUAUUGUCAAGAUUGGCAACUCAAUUUUGAAAUAUCCAUUGUAGAAUCUUGUCGUAAUUGUUUUAGUUAAAAAUAAGAUUUAAUAGAGUGCUAAUUUUAAAUCUUAAUGUUAAUUUAAUACUCGAUACUGUAAAAUUUAUUUAAAUAUAAUAAGUACUGUUGUUAAUUUAAUACUUGACAUUGUGAACCUAAAUGACUGAAUCAAAGAAGGUGUUGUCUAAUACCUGAUAUCCUAUUAUAAAUAUCUUCUACUCUAUUAAUUCCUUUAUCAGUCAAGACUUCUAAUAUUAUUUCAUACAUGGGAAAAUAAGUACAGUUUCUUUUAUGUAUUUUAAAAAUUGUCAUUUUAUGAAAUUUAUGAUCUCCAACAAAUUAAUUAAAAGCUUUCUUAAGGUUAAAUAAUAAUUUUUAUUUUUUCCCGUUUACAAAAUAAGUAGAACUAUUUGAACUCACCAAAUUUAUCUCUUAACUCAUUUUAGAAAAUACAUUUAUUAUUUAUGAUUUAAAAUUUAAAAAUCUCAAAUUCACCUUUCACUGAUCUCUUUCUCUCUCUCCUCACAAUUGCAAAGUUUCUCUCUAUCCUCACAUUUUACAAACUAAACUUUCAAAUUCACUGUCUUUUGAAUUUUUUUUUUACCUUUUUUAUUAAAUCAUAAUCUCUAUUUCAUGGUUGGUAAAAGUUUGUCGAUGGAUUUUACUUUAUGAUAACAAAACCAAUUAUUUACCCAUAAAAUAAAAUAUGUAAAUAAAUUAAUGAGAAUUGAAGAUUUAAGAAUGAAAAGAGAAGAAAGGGUUAAUUAUAAGUAAUUCUGUUAGAAUUAUUUUGAUAAUAAAAUUCUUAAUUAAAAAUAUGAUGUAAAGAGAAAAUUGAUAGGUUCAAAUAAUCUCAACUUUACUCCCCAUUUAAAAGAGAGAUGGUGAGAGAGAAAAAACAAAAAACAAAAAUAUCAAUACAAGAUUCUCAAAAAGAUUGUCAAGGUUUUGGAUUAUGCUUUCUCAUCUAAUGAGUUUUGAUUUAGUAUCUUAAAGCCAAUAUCAAGAAAUAUCUAGAAGGCAUGUGUUGAAGGAAAGCGUGUGAUCAAUAAUAAUUUGAGUCAACACAAACAAUUCGAAUUCACCAAAUAUAUAUAUAUAUAUAUAUAUCUUUGGUUGUGGAUAAUGAGGCAUCUUUGAAAGCAGGGUUUUUUUUUUUUUUUUGUAGUUAUUAUUUCUUCUAGGUUUCGUAACCAUUAAAUUCAACUUUCCCACCAAAGAAGAACAGAAAAAAGAAAUUCAUCACUUGCCAGAUAAGAAGCUCAUAAAAAUAUAUAAACGGUCAUGGUCAUAAAAUCGACCAAGUAGCCAGAAUUAAUGUCGACAGUCGACACCCAUUCUUCCAAUACAAUUAAAUUUUUGUCUUUUCACUGUUAACACCUGAAGAAUUUAUCAUACAACAAACACGAUACAUGGGCAUCACUUGCUCCUGCUAUAGUUAAUGGGAUGUGUUAACAAUUUUUUUUUUUUCCCCACACAAAAAUCUGCAUGAAGAUUCUUGGAUCUUCUCAAAUAUCGCGACAAAUCUGUAGUCUUGUUUCUUUUUCUUUUUUUUUUUUUUUAAUAAAAUUCCAUAUGCAUUCACAGAAGAAAAAAAAAAAAAAAGGAAGAAGAAGCACAUACGUUUCCAAUUUAUAAAAACCAUGCGUUAUUGUCGAUCAUAAUUGAAGGUAUCGUCAACAAGCAAGUAAUAUAAUAACCCAAAAACACCAACAAAGUGUUGGCUCCACUGGCAAUGGAGUCCCCUUGUGUGGUUUGACUGAGUUUGCUCCCCAGUUCGAGUCGCAGGGAAGUCGCCUUUGUUGGGAGAACAUGUGCCUCUCGGUUCGAGCGGGGACUUAUAGUCUGGGUUGUGGUACGGGCUUAAAGGUGCCUCCCACAGUUGGGGCCCUCCCCAGAAUACCUCGUGGUCAAAACAAAAAAAAAAAAAAAACCAAAAAACCAAACCCGAUAAUAGUCCAAACUUUGUUAACUCAAGAUACCCAAAUGAAUAAUUUUUAUUUUGAUUUGAUAAAUAGUCAUUAAUCCAUUUUUAUUGUCUUCUUACUCUGUUUUUGCUUAAAUUCAAAAUACUUAUUAAGCACUCCACGUGCAUGCAAGCUAGCGAUAUGAUAUCUUGUUGCAUGAAUAUUAUGAAAAAUGUUAAGAGCGUCUUAUGUCGUGUAUGUAGGACCAGAAAUUUUAUCUCAAUCUAAGGAUACUACUUAGGAUUUUUUUUUUUUCUGCUUCUCUUAUGAUUAUUAUUAUUGUUGAUGCGAGAUUCUGGUUGUCCUCGUUCUACGACCAGGGUCUCUGCUCGAUCAACUUCACCACGACCAGGAUCUCUCCUCGUAAAGCUUCUUCUCCAGAGGUUCCUGCGCACACAGACAGGUCAGAGUACGCCGGUUGUUUUCCCGGCGCAAACCCUCCGACGCUCAAGUCAGAAAUAGGGGUUCUGGGAAUGUUUGCCACGAAUCUUAUGGCUUCUUUUUAAUCUCAAUUCUCGGAACUUUCUUUUCUUAGUUCUAAUAGCAAAAAGUCUAACCCUUUUACCUUCGCUGGCUACCUUUUUAUAGGCUUCCUCUGAAUCCCAGUCUUCCGUAGUCCACACCCAUUAUUCUCCCCACCCUCGGAUGUGGAUGCCCCAUUGUAGUCAUUGUGGGCGAAUGGAGAUGGUCUUCGUGCCUUGAUUCUCGAAUAGGAAUGUACGUCUUGCCAACUGUCGUUGACCGGGUCUCCUCGCCUCGACUCCUAGCAGGAAUGGCCUUAUGCCUCUAACGGGAGUUCAUCCUCAUGAAUGGCAUAUUCGUGGACAAGCAGAAUAUUCUUGCUGCUGCUCCUCUGCUACCAGGCUCUUACAGAACACACCUGUUCGCAGAACUCUACUACCCAAUAUCUGCUCAUCACGUCUGGUCUCGUCGAAGUAUUUCUCUGAAACAAUUAUUAUUUUUUUCAAGUGCAUAAGCUAUUGAAAAGAUCGAAAAUUUGGCAACUACGUUCUAGCAUGUAAUAGAAUUUUCAAAAUUUAGGAUAACAUAGGGGAAUAUUUUAUUAUUUUUGAAAAAAUUGAAAAUAGAAUUAUUAGUCAAUUGACGGCUUUGAUUGUGAAAAAUUGCUCCAGCGAAGCCAUGUGAGAACAGAUCAACAUCAGUAUUAGAAACCUAUUGAAACUGGCCCCACUUUAUGAUAAUUCUGCCACCUUUGAUUGAAGUGAUUGCCAGCUCUCCACACUCCCCAUUUUACCCCUGGAAUUUUACACUUAUUUCAAGCCUAUCGGGGGCAUUUAUAAUAUUGUUUUUAAUAAUUGUUUUUUUUAUGAAAAUUAUUUUUUAAAAUGAUACUUCAAAAAAAAAAAAAAAGAAGUUUCCAAAUUACAUUAAACACCAAAUUGAAUACGUUUCUUUUUCUUUUUAAACUUGUUUUAAAAAAAAUUACUGAAUAAUCACUUAAUUGUUCGAAAUCAUUGUCAAUUCAAGUAUAACAAAUAAAUUAAUGGGAGAGUUGGCUAACAUGAGAAUUUUUUUAAACAAAAAAGUUAUGCGUAAAAUUCUCUAAUUUUAAAUUGAGAGGGAGUUACUAAAAAAAAGAAAAAUUUGCAAGGCGGGCAUAAAAUUGGAUAUAUAAAACUCAAAAGGGUAUAUUUGGAAAAUAAUUAGGAAACAAAAGGGUUUUUUUAAUAAAAAAAAAGAAAAAAGAAAAUGGGUAUUGAAUGUGUAUACGAUGAUGCCACGGUCAUAAAAUUAGGAGGGACACACGGUUGGCUCAAAACAGUUGCAUUGAGGUAGACUUUUAUUGAAGCCUUGGGGAGACAGACAGCCAGAGGAAGGAGAGUUAAAAGAAGUGAGUGCAUAGCUAUUCAGAUUCUUUUAGCAAACUUCUGCUUGCUGCACCAAGCCACCAACUCAACUCAGGUUUCUCUCUUUUUAAUUAUUUCAAUUUUUAUUAAUUUGAUUUGGUCCCCACAAAUUUUAUUUAGCUGUUUGCUUGUUGAUUAGAUUUUUCUUUCAGAGGGACUCAUUUGAUUGGAAAAAAGAAGAAAGAUGGGGUACUGGAAAUCCAAGGUCCUCCCAAGGAUCAAGAAAGUUUUCGAGAAAAACGGAACCAAGAAAGCUGCUGCUGCUGAGGCUUGCAAGUCCUUUGAUGAUUCAAAGGUUGUCUUUAUGUAUAUGUACAUAUGUGUCCUUUUUAUUUAUUUAUUUUGCUUGUUGUUUAAUUAACAAUUAUGUUGAGCUUGCUAUAUAUGCGCGUUUGUAGGAAGAAAUCAAUAAAGAGUUUGAAGAGAAGAAGCCUGAGCUCCAACCUAAAGUGGUCGAAAUCUAUGAAGCUUCUUCAGCUGAAAUCAAGGUCUCUACAUGAAUGAACAUACCAAAUCUGUUAUAGCUACAAAUGUCAGAGAGAAUUAAAAAGAUCCAAUUCAUGCAAGUUUUUAUUUAUUAAUUUAACCUUUUUUUUUUUUUUUGGCUUUGGCUUUGGCGUUUAAAUGAAAAUACAGACCCUGGUCAAGGAUCGCAAGGAGGAUGGACUUAAGAAGCACUCCACUGCUGUGCACAAGUUACUUGAAGAACUCGUUAAAAUCGGUAAAAUAGUUCUAUCACAUAUGGUAUUAUUAAUUAAAGUUAAGGUCAUGUGUUAAAAUCACAUGAGAAUUUUAUUAACAUAUAUGUAUGUGUGUAUAUACAGAGUUUCCAGGAUCAAAAGCAGUAAGUGAAGCAUCGUCAAAGUUUGGGGCAGCCUCUGUUCCGGGGCCAGUUUUCUUCAUAUUUGAGAAGGUCUCAACGUUUAUUGUUACUGAAGAAAAAGCAGCAGAGCCAGCAACCGCGGCAGCAGGAGAAGAAACAAAACCAGAACAAGAGACAACAAGUAGUAGUACCGCCGCAGUCACAGAGAAGGACGACGUAGUUGUUGAGGAAGAGAAGAAAGAAGAGGCCCCCGCCGGCCCUGAGAAAACUGAGCCGGCAGAAGCCGCCGCCGCCCCAGCCCCAACUGAGCCUCUUCCUGCCGCCGCCAAGGAGGACCAACCAGCUGCUGCAGAGCCACCAAAGCCUUGAGAACAUGCAUCAACUGACAAGACAAAUUCAUAUCCAUAUAUACAUAGAUAUAUAUUUCAUAUUCAUCAAGUGAAAGUGAAGUAAUAAUGUUAAUAUUUUGUGUACGUAAAAGUCUUGUAAAAUGCAAAACAUGAUUUGUUAUUCUUUCUUUUUCCUCUAUAUGCGCAUGUAUAUCACCUACUUGUUUUUUUUUCCCUUGUAUUAUUUUGUUUUACAGUCUUUAUUUUUACUUUCUUUAUUAUUAUUAUUUUUUGUAUUUGUGAAUUAUUAUUAUUUGUAAUAUUUAAUUUUUACAAUACAGGGAUUAAUGUGGUGGGUGGAGAUACCCUUAACGCUUUAGUUGCUUUCAUUGAUUUGAUUGUAUGUGUUUUCCUCAUGGAGAUCAUUUAAAAAGAGAUAGGCAAAAAAAAAAAGAAAAAAGAAUAUUGAUGAUGAGAAGUUAUUUGUUUAUAAUUAAUAAUUCCAAGCUCCCUCUUUCUCGCUAUUUAAUUUAUAAGUGUGUAAUGUGCUCUCUUGACCUACACUUGUGUGUUUCAUUUAUAUAAAUGGGUUGGUGAGGGAAAGAAUUAAAUGUGACUAAUAACGCAAAAAAUAAAUAAUACUUGGGUUUUACAGGGAUGAUUAUUUGUUUACCUUUACAUUGAAGAACUAAAACGAUAUAAUAAUAAUUAUGCAAUGAAGAGGGUCAAAGAUUUUUCUUCUCUUGUGCUUGAAAAUUUCCUUGUCAUUCGUUCUUCUUUUGUUGGUUUCUCUUAUCCUCAUGAAUGGAAAUUUUUUCUCAUUAUUUUUCCUCUCAAUAGCCUACUAGUACUUGUUUUUUUUUUUUCUGAAGCUAAAUUCCAUCACUAAGAUUGUUGAUAAACAAUUAGUAACGACCAAUUAUGAUACUACUUUUGGUCUUUGGUGUGCAACUAUACAUGCACAUAGAUGGAAAAACCUGUAACUCCAUGCUCAUAUAUAUGAUGCAAACGCUAAUUUGGA